UCUGAUGGCAUGUGUAGAUACUAAAAGCCGUAAAGCUAUAGAAAUAAAUAGUCGCAAACUCGUAUAACUCCCAGCGACUCUAUUUGGUUGUAUAGCUUCCAGUUAAUUUGCCGAUAGUCAGCACCUCUACACUAAUGUUCCCUGGGGAUGCUCCGGCUUGUUAUUAGAUACUAGAAGCCAACAACACUGGGGGUGAUGUAAAAUACAAUAUGGCAAAUUCAUUUUGCUUACUGUUUUCCGGGAAGGCAUUUGUCAUAGACGCUCACCCACACUCGACCAUUAAAAAGUUGUGGUUCCAAAUGUUUCCUCUCACAAGAUGUUAAGGAUUUAUUGUUGUAUUCGUCUACACAUGACAGACACUUUUUGGUUAACAAAGUGUCAUUACAAGCUGCACAUGUACCUGAGUGUGUUACGCAUAUGGCUCUAAACUGGUUCCAGAUUGCCACAAGGCGUCAGGUAGCUUGACUUGUAACUGUCAAAGUUGAACCACCAGGCGUCAGGUCCGGUAGCUUGACUUGUAACUGUCAAAGUUGAACCAAGAUACUUGUUCAUUUGUUCUCUAUAUGUUCUAGGUGCCGCCAUUUUAGAGAAGAGUCUCCCAAGGAACCUCUGGACAAAGGGUAAGUCAGAGCUUUUCUUCCCUGCCUUGGUUCCUUCAGUCUCCUCUUUCUGCUUUGGUGCCCAUGUAAGACUGGAGACCAGGGAAGAUGUUCAACGAAUGAGCCCCUGUGGAUAUUUCUCAAAUAGAAAAUGUUAAAACAGAAAGAAAAAAAAUAAUGUUAUGUAACACAUUUGUCUACAUCCUUCACUUUAUUCAAUGUAAUCUUGUACACUACUGUUUCCUUAUGAUAUAACAUCAUGCAUGCUCUGUCCUUAAUUGAGAACAUAACGUGUGUUCAUUUUUCAUUUGGCGUAUUAAUAUAAUAAACAUAGGCACAGACUA